UUUCCCAUACACCAAUUCCAAAUGAUUUUCUGUUCCACAAAAAAAAAAAAAACCUGUUCCCCCCAAAAAAGGAUCCACAAGUAUGUGACACAGAGCAAGAAAUGUUCAAGUUUUGGUGCAUGUCAGCUUCCUGCAAAGGUACUCAAUGUAGAGGAAGAGGUCGACAUGCUAUGGAAGAAGCCACCUACAGAGUUGAUAAGUCUCCUAGCCAGAAUCUGGAGUACCUGUUACAUCCCAAGGAAUUCCAAACACUGAGGCCACAUGAAUGAUUAUUUGGAGAGGAAUACAUAUCAAAACAAAAAUCUGAAUGCAUAAUUGUACAAUUAUAUUUGUAUUUGUAAAUGCUGUCCUCAAUAUAUUCAAGUAUUUUGAUUCAAAUUGACGUUUGAUUCAAAAUGCUGUAUUAUUUGUAGACUAUUGAGUGCUAUUUAAGAGCUGUACUUAAUAUGAAGGGUGCAAAUAUCUACCAGCAAAACCAUUACACCACAGGUGUCAUUUUAAAUAGCACAAGGGAGCAGAUGGCAUGGCAAAGAUUGCGAAAAGUGAGAGCAGCUCCUUAUGAUUCUUAAUUUUUACAUGUACAGUACACAGACAUGAUUAUGCAUAUUUCUGAUAAACAGGUCAACUUUGAGCAAUAUGAUGGGCUCAUCACUUUCGUAAAUAUCAACAACAUACACUAGAGGUUUGCGUGACUACAUGCUUACACUGACACCAUUUUUAAUACUUGACCCUCAAAGUGGUACAAAUUAAAUGAAAGAAGCCAAAAAAGCCUGCAAAUACCUUUGAAAAUUUUUCCAAAUGAGAAAAAACAAGUAUGGAAGAGAGGACUUGGUGAGUACCAAGUGGAAACCUGGCACAAUCCAACAUUCAUUUCAGGAGGAUGGUUCCAGCUGUGGUGUCUUUGUGAUGCUGAUGGCGAAACCGGUGGUGGAAGAGUUCCCAAAAAUUCCUGACAGCAUUAAUAUAAGGAGAUGAUGUGCCACUACAGGAAAAAUGUGGCCAAUUAAAUUUUGCUGGCAUCAGUGUGAAGAGAGGAGUACUGCUCUGUGUGUGGAGAAAAAGAAAGAGCCCAAACAGAGGAGCAAUGCAUCUGGGUAUUCACUACGCCAUUUCUGCCUGUUGACUGUUUUCACAACUACAUUUAAUAAUUCCAACACUUUCUUAAUACAUCUAACAACAUGUCCUAUUUCCCUUCCAGAUUCAAUGUGAAUUAUGCCAGAGGUAGUUUCAUGUUCAG